rnacentral:lncRNA from 1 species
GUACUGAUUAUAAAGUAUUCAAAGUAUUGUUAUAGUUUAAAAAAAUAGUUAUGUAUGGCCUUAAUGUUGUGAUGUCAUGCAAUGUUAUGUUCAUCUUGUUAUCUAACCAUCUGGCCAUCAAGAUUACAAUAUAUUCGUAUACAGUGUGGAUAAGGAAGACCUCAUGUAUUUGGUGUAUUUGCAUAGAUUAUUGAAGGAAUACAGGAAGAAAGUUAUGGGCCAUAAUCCAAUGUUAAAAAGACCAAUAUUGCAGCUACAAUUUAUAUAACAUAUGCUAUAUAAAAAAGAAGAUGUGGUAUGAUUGCCAAUGAGACAACUAUCCACAAAAGACCAAAAUGACACAGACAUUAACAACUAUAGGUCACCGUACGGCCUUCAACAAUGAGCAAAGCCGAUACCGCAUAUAUAGUCAGCUAUAAAAGGCCCCGAUUAAGACAAUGUAAAACAAUUCAAACGAGAAAACUAACGGCCUUAUUUAUGUAAAAAAAAAAAUGAGCUAGCUUAUCUAACAAAUAGUAUGCUCUGAGAAAGCUUAUUAACAAAUAGUAGGCUCUGAGGAUAAUUAUAUCCUGAACCUAGUGUGAUAAUAGAAUUUUUACAAUAGUUUACUUUGUUUAUUUGUAUGUACAUGCAUUUGUAAUUGUAACAUUCAUUCAUAAAAAGCAUCAAUUUCUUACCCAAGCACAGUGCUGUAAAAAAAAUAUAUAUUUAUUUCAUUGAGCCAACAAGUUUUAUGUGUGUCAACCCUCCUAAUAGAAAUUAAUAUUUUUAGUAAAUAACCAAAUCUAUAAAAGGUAGGCAUUUCAGUUAUUCAACUUUUUAGCUGACAGUGCAAAAACUGUAUAGCCAGUCAAGGGACGUUAAAAUUUCCAUUUGUAUUCAACUUUUUGUAUAUCGAAGACAUUUUAUCUGUCAAGUCUUUUCUUGGCAUGAUGUAGAUGGACAGUUAAUAUGAUACAUCUUUGACGAUGAAUAUUCAUUAUAUUGCUACUGAUGCAAUAAAAUUGAGAAUGGAAACGGGGAAUAUAGUAAAGAGAUUACCACAUAACCAUAAGCAGAAAACAGCCCAAGGCUACCAAUGGGUCUUUAACACGGUGAGUAAAACUGCAGAGUUAAAUUUUAUUGGAAGCAAAAAUGUGUUCAUUUUGUAAAGAAUAAUAUGAUUACAUCAAAACAAUAUUUGUUAAACGUAUUUGCAUUAACUUGUAACUGCCUUUCAGAUGGCAUUACUUCCAUACAACAAUAUCUAAAUUUGUCACCAACCGAUAUUUACCAACACUAAUAGCAGGUAGAAUUACACAUAAUGUAAAAAAAAUACUGCUGGUUAUUGGCAUAUAAGAGUUGCCUCCUCUUGACAAUCAUUGAAUAUUAUAUUGUCACAAACUUUAUGAAUGAGAGGAGGAACUAUCUAAAUGAAACUGAUUCUUCAGUCCAAAUAUUUCUUAAAUUCUGAAACUUAUUAUUUUAGUGGGGAAAAACGUCUAUCCAUGUAAAAAGACUUGCAAAUUAGAAACAUAGAUUUUUAUUUGUGUAUUUUUUGCUGGCACAGAAGUGUUCAUAAUGUGAUAUAUGUAUACUGAAUAAAUAUGUUAUGUAUCUGUGAAAGAUUGUGUGCAUGUGUGUAAUUGUACACUAGUUGAAGUGUAGACACACAAUGCUGAUGUUAUAUGUAUAUAAAUCUUUUAUGAAAUGUGUCUUGUUGCUUAUACUAAUUUUGCCUAUUGAUUUUGAUACCAAUACUUCGACAGAGUGUUUAUAUUUCACCUAUUAUUUU